UCUGCUCUUCCGCUCCUCUCCUCUUUCGCCUCACCGUCGCUUUAAAGGAAUGCCUUUUGGGCUUUGAUGUAAACGGCAGGCCUAUCUUCACGUGGGAUGUCGUGAGAGAAUAAGUAAAUAGAUCACGUCCAGCCAUCUAGAUCAGAAUUUCUUCAGUAAAGCAGGAUAUUCGAUCGACGAUAGAAAAGAAACAAACGGUAAAUCUAUGGCAUCCGAUUG
rnacentral:lncRNA from 1 species